GAUGAACGCUGGCGGCGUGCCUAAUACAUGCAAGUCGAGCGAACAGACGAGGAGCUUGCUCCUCUGACGUUAGCGGCGGACGGGUGAGUAACACGUGGAUAACCUACCUAUAAGACUGGGAUAACUUCGGGAAACCGGAGCUAAUACCGGAUAAUAUAUUGAACCGCAUGGUUCAAUAGUGAAAGACGGUUUUGCUGUCACUUAUAGAUGGAUCCGCGCCGCAUUAGCUAGUUGGUAAGGUAACAGCUUACCAAGGCAACGAUGCGUAGCCGACCUGAGAGGGUGAUCGGCCACACUGGAACUGAGACACGGUCCAGACUCCUACGGGAGGCAGCAGUAGGGAAUCUUCCGCAAUGGGCGAAAGCCUGACGGAGCAACGCCGCGUGAGUGAUGAAGGUCUUCGGAUCGUAAAACUCUGUUAUUAGGGAAGAACAAAUGUGUAAGUAACUAUGCACGUCUUGACGGUACCUAAUCAGAAAGCCACGGCUAACUACGCG
rnacentral:rRNA from 1 species